AUACGUAGGGUGCGAGCGUUGUCCGGAAUUACUGGGCGUAAAGAGCUCGUAGGUGGUUUGUCGCGUCGUCUGUGAAAUUCCGGGGCUUAACUCCGGGCGUGCAGGCGAUACGGGCAUAACUUGAGUACUGUAGGGGAGACUGGAAUUCCUGGUGUAGCGGUGAAAUGCGCAGAUAUCAGGAGGAACACCGGUGGCGAAGGCGGGUCUCUGGGCAGUAACUGACGCUGAGGAGCGAAAGCAUGGGUAGCGAACAGGAUUAGAUACCCUGGUAGUCCAUGCCGUAAACGGUGGGCGCUAGGUGUAGGGGUCUUCCACGACUUCUGUGCCGUAGCUAACGCAUUAAGCGCCCCGCCUGGGGAGUACGGCCGCAAGGCUGAAACUCAAAGGAAUUGACGGGG
rnacentral:rRNA from 1 species